AUUGAACGCUGGCGGCACGCCUAACACAUGCAAGUCGAGCGGCAGCGAGACUAGUAGCAAUACUAGUUGUCGGCGAGCGGCGGACGGGUGAGUAACACGUAGGAAUCUGCCCUUAAGCGGGGGAUAACCAAGGGAAACCUUGGCUAAUACCGCAUAAUCUCGAGAGAGCAAAGCUGCCCGCAAGGGUGGCACUUGAGGAGGAGCCUGCGUCCGAUUAGCUAGUUGGUGGGGUAAUGGCCUACCAAGGCGAUGAUCGGUAACUGGUCUGAGAGGACGACCAGGCACACUGGGACUGAGACACGGCCCAGACUCCUACGGGAGGCAGCAGUGGGGAAUAUUGGACAAUGGGGGCAACCCUGAUCCAGCGAUGCCGCGUGAGUGAAGAAGGCCUUCGGGUCGUAAAGCUCUUUAGGUUGGGAAGAAGGGUAUUGGCUGAAUAAUCCAGUACUUUGACGGUACCGACAGAAUAAGCACCGGCAAACUCUGUGCCAGCAGCCGCGGUAAUAC
rnacentral:rRNA from 1 species